GCGAGGCUGUCACACUGCCCGGCCCCGGGGCUACUGCCCUCCCGGCUGUGUGGCCCACGGGCCUCAGGCUCCACACCUUGGUCCUGGUCUGGCUGCAGGACUGGGGCGCCUUGGUCCCUCCUCCUGGGCUGAGGUGUCCUGCAGUUGGUCUCCAGGCUGUGUCUCUAUCUGGGCUACACUUUACCCAGCUGUCCCUUCGAAGCCCAGCCUGAGGGCUGCCCUCAGCCCAGACCGAGGGUAGGGACACUCAGGACUGCAGGUCCACACCACUCCUGGGCACUUGCCCUGUCGUGGACCCAGACGCUUGCCGAAACGGCUGAGAAGUCUUGGCCGGGCCUCGCAGGACGGGCGAGUUCGGCGUGGAGAGCCCCGCGUCCCUGCCACGGUCAGAAGAAGGAGUUCUUCCUCCGGCGGAGGAGUCCCAAAGAGCCAGGCCCCCCAGCCCCUGGGCCUGCAGAGGCUACCUUGCCUGGUGGGAUGCCGGGGUCCCCUCCCCUAAGCAGGGCCUCUGCCUCCCCAUUGCCCCACAGGGCCUGGGACGGAUGGUAUGAACCCCAGCCCCAGCCAGAAAGCAGACACUGGGUCUGGGGCCGAGGAGAAGGGGAGCAGGCAGGGCUGCGGGGGCGUCGUGGGGGGUCAGAGCCACUGGCACGGGCCAGGCCGAGAGUUGGGGCCACACUCUGUGCCGCCAGCACCCAGAAGGGCAAAGAAGACACUUCGAUAGCUCAUUAGCUGCCGUCCCUGCUCCCAGAAACAACAUCGCAGGAAGGUGGUUUCAAGGCUCACAUUCCUGCCCUCCUGGCUGCAUUUCAGGUUUAUCAAGGGCCAAACUGUGACAAGCAGAAAAGAAUUCCUGUUCUCAAGUGCUUACAGUUUCAUGGGAGACAAUGAAAAAUUAAAUUUCCAUAUGUUCUAUGUUA